rnacentral:rRNA from 1 species
AUACGGAGGGUGCAAGCGUUAUCCGGAUUCACUGGGUUUAAAGGGUGCGUAGGCGGGUAGUUAAGUCAGUGGUGAAAUCCUGGAGCUCAACUCCAGAACUGCCAUUGAUACUAUCUAUCUUGAAUAUUGUGGAGGUAAGCGGAAUAUGUCAUGUAGCGGUGAAAUGCUUAGAUAUGACAUAGAACACCCAUUGCGAAGGCAGCUUACUACACAUAUAUUGACGCUGAGGCACGAAAGCGUGGGGAUCAAACAGGAUUAGAUACCCUGGUAGUCCACGCCCUAAACGAUGAUUACUCGACAUUUGUGAUACACAAUAAGUGUCUGAGCGAAAGCAUUAAGUAAUCCACCUGGGAAGUACGACCGCAAGGUUGAA